AGUAGGGAAUAUUGCACAAUGGGCGAAAGCCUGAUGCAGCAACGCCGCGUGCGCGAAGAAGGCCUUCGGGUUGUAAAGCGCUUUUCUGGAGGAAGAGAAAGGACGGUACUCCAGGAAUAAGGAUCGGCUAACUACGUGCCAGCAGCCGCGGUAACACGUAGGAUCCGAGCGUUAUCCGAAUUUACUGGGCGUAAAGCGCGUGUAGGCGGCCGGGUAAGUUGGACGUGAAAGCUCCUGGCUCAACUAGGAGAGGUCGUUCAAAACUGCCUGGCUAGAGGGCGACAGAGGGAGGUGGAAUUCCCGGUGUAGUGGUGAAAUGCGUAGAUAUCGGGAGGAACACCAGUGGCGAAGGCGGCCUCCUGGGUCGCCCCUGACGCUCAGACGCGAAAGCUAGGGGAGCAAACGGGAUUAGAUACCCCGGUAGUCCUAGCUGUAAACGAUGUGGACUUGGCGUUGGUGGGGUCAAAUCCAUCAGUGCCGUAGCUAACGCGAUAAGUCCACCGCCUGGGGACUACGGUCGCAAGGCUAAAACUCAAAGGAAUUGGCGGGGGCCCGCACAAGCAGCGGAGCGUGUGGUUUAAUUCGAUGCUACACGAAGAACCUUACCCGGGUUUGACAUCCAGGUGGUAGGGAACCGAAAGGCGACCGACCCUUCGGGGAGCCUGGACAGGUGCUGCAUGGCUGUCGUCAGCUCGUGUCGUGAGAUGUCCGGUUAAGUCCGGUAACGAGCGCAACCCUUGCUGUAUGUUAUACGUGUCAUACAGGACUGCCGGUUUAGUGCCGGAGGAAGGCGGGGAUGACGUCAAGUCAGCAUGGCCUUUAUAUCCGGGGCUACACACACGCUACAAUGGCCAGUACAACAGGUUGCAAAACCGCGAGGUGGAGCCAAUCCCCAAAACUGGUCUCAGUUCAGAUUGCAGGCUGCAACUCGCCUGCAUGAAGUCGGAGUUGCUAGUAACCGCGCGUCAGCUAUAGUGCGGUGAAUACGUUCUCGGGCCUUGCACACACCGCCCGUCACGUCAUGGAAGCUGACAACACCUGAAGCCGGUAUCCUAACCGCAAGGAUGGAGCCGUCGAAGGUGGGGUUGGUGACUGGGACG
rnacentral:rRNA from 1 species